UUUACAUCAUGGGGGUGGGGGGCUUUAAAUAUCAAUCGCUGUCUCUGGUAUUUCUAUACAACGAUUAUGAAUUUUAACCACUUAGACAUAUUAAGCUCUUACAAACAUUGACAUACUUCACCGUUCUUUCAAACUGCAAGCUUCAACUAAAGAUCUCUUUCCAUGCCAAUGUCACAGCAGGACAACUAUAAAAACUGCAUAUAAUUUACAAUUUCUGUAAACCACAAAGCAAAAGAACCAGAACUCAAGGAUUCUUAAUCCACAACUCUUCAACUGAAAUUUCUCGUGCAGACAACCACAAGCCAUUUUGACUGCUUUUUCCAUAUCUGUGUCUCUAUGGAGUGAGUAGAUAUCCUUUAUGUAUCAGGAAACCUCUCAGACUAUGGUGUUUCCCAUACGCUUAUCUGGUUUGCAGCACCGUACCUAGACUCCUGGUGGCCCUGGGUGAACUUUUAGUAUCAGGCCUCCCUUCACCAGAGAUAAUGAUAAUAAUAAUUAUAUUUUCACCAUUUUCGGGCCCCCUUUCUGUCCAGGCCCCAGGUGGCCACCCAGUUUGCCCAUGCCUGUGUCCGGCCCUGCUGGUUUGACUAUGAUCCAUGUCGUCUACUGAUGGCUAAAGAGCCAGUCACUUCAAUCCUGCUGUCACCAGCCCGUCACACUGCCGCUCUUGACUUUCUGCGCCCUCUCCUAUCACACCCACACAGACAAGCCCAUUCCUUUCGCUUACACCAUUCCUGUACCUUUCGUGCAAUUCUCAGAGGAUUCACUUUCUCCUGCACCUCCACAGAUUAGAUCAGGCUCCACAAUGGCCGUCGACCACAGAAAAGGACAUGUCUGGGACCACAAGUGAGGCUGAAAAUAAUUGCGAAGUCUUUCCUGUCUGCGGAGGAAUGUUUAGCUCAACCCAAGAACCGGUUCCACCGCCCUGCGUAGGCUGUACACCCAAGAACUCCUCGGUGCUGCAUGGGACUGAUUACAUCUCAAGCCUGAGAUGGCUCAGGCCCAGCAGGAUGGAUGCUGCCCCCUUUUGAACUAACCGGUGAUGCGCAGGGCAACCAAAGGAGACACGAUGAUUAAGGACACAUGCUCCCAUGCUCUCACUCUCUGACUGCUCUCACAGGAGCAAAGGCUAAAGCUGUAGGUCCCAGACUCAGAUCCAUCUACCUUGGUUGAGUAUACAUAACUUGUGAAUUAUUACCGUGUCUUUGUUGCCACGUAGCCUCUGGUUGCACCACUGAACUGGCCAAUAGCUAGACUUUUUGAAUGAAUAAAAUGGUUUUUUUGUUGCCUUUGGCA
rnacentral:lncRNA from 1 species